rnacentral:rRNA from 1 species
AUGGCAGGCCAACAUCAUUGUCGUUAUAUACUUUCUCACCCCCUGUGCCUGGAGCAAAUUUUCUUUUCUUCAGGUUUGGGGAGUGUACCAGAUGGUAGUUGGGUUCUUUUGGUAUUCGCGGCUGUACUGUAUUUGACAAUGUACCUGAGGAAAUAUGAGAUCAAGUUGAAGUACGGAACUGAGGUUAAGCAAAAGCUUUUGGUGGAUUUAAUGAUCUUUGGUCUUUUCCUGACCAUAAUGCCUGCCAUUUAUUCGAUGAUCUUUUUUGUCUGCAUCAAGUGGGUCUCUGUUCCUGUUGUUCCUCAGAAUGAAAGGUUUCUGUUUCGCCGGUCUGCCCCCAAAGAACUACCACAUGUUUAG